UCCAUUAUAAGUGUGAUGGGCUUCAGGAACAAAGGAUUUAACAAUCAGAACAUAAACCAGAGAUGUUCCUACAGCACUAAUAUCCAGACACAUUUCCUGGAGGAGCAGCGAGACUGAAGAGAUGAAGCGUUGAGGAUAAACUGCACCUGGACGUAGAGGUAAUCGAAGGCGACGGCGUCUCUCCUCAGAAGAUCCACCGGGUCCUUCGGGAGAAAA